GACUAACGCUGGCGGCGUGCCUAACACAUGCAAGUCGAACGAUUCUUUGAUUUAUAGCAAUAUUUAUUGAAGAGGAGUGGCGAACGGGUGAGUAACACGUAGAUAAUCUGCCUUUCAGACGGGGACAACUCAGGGAAACUUGUGCUAAUACCCGAUGAGACCACAAGAAGGGAUUUUUUGUAGGCCAAAAGGCGGGCAGCAAAUGCUCGUGCUGAAAGAUGAGUCUGCGUCCUAUCAGCUAGUUGUGGGGUAAAUGCCUACCAAGGCUAAGACGGGUAGCCGGCCUGAGAGGGUGAACGGCCACACUGGGACUGAGACACGGCCCAGACUCCUACGGGAGGCAGCAGUGAGGAAUUUUCCGCAAUGGGCGCAAGCCUGACGGAGCGACGCCGCGUGAGGGAUGACAGCUUUCGGGUGUAAACCCUUUUAUUAAGAAAAGAUUAUAUGCUAAUAUCAUGUAGAUUUUGAUGGUACUUAUUGAAUAAGCCCCGGCUAACUACG
rnacentral:rRNA from 1 species